GACGUAGGGCGCAAGCGUUGUCCGGAUUUAUUGGGCGUAAAGAGCUCGUAGGCGGCUUGUUGCGUCGACUGUGAAAACCCGCAGCUUAACUGCGGGCCUGCAGUUGAUACGGGCAGGCUAGAGUUCGGUAGGGGAGACUGGAAUUCCUGGUGUAGCGGUGAAAUGCGCAGAUAUCAGGAGGAACACCGGUGGCGAAGGCGGGUCUCUGGACAGUCGCUGACACUGAGGCACGAAGGCCAGGGGAGCAAACGGG
rnacentral:rRNA from 1 species